CAGGAGGCUGCGCAUUGGCUGCGGGGAAAAUCAAUUAUCAAAUAAUCGAUCAGCAGGGAGCUUCGAUCUGCCGGGAAUGUAAACUGCCAGUACCGAUUCCCGCCCUGACGGUGGCCAAAAGGCUGACUCCCUCAAAGCGACCGGCCUGAGCUCCCAUCCCAUGGUCCCCACCCCCAUCCCACCCUGCCAGCUGUGGAGCAAACCCUCGCCCCAGAGGGGAGAUAGUUGGUGGGAAGAGUUUUGAGAAAGAUUAGGGGGCCCCCUUCACUGGGAGUUUGUUUGGAAAAGGUUGAGAGCUCUCAAAUGUAUUGAAGCCAACUCUUAGGCGCCAAUUACCCUGAUACAUCUCUUGGGAAGUUAAGGCAGGCCUGAGAGUCAAAGCCAAGGGGGGCUUUGGGGAAGCCAGGUGAAUUACCAGAGCCAACGCCUAACUCUGAGCCCGCCCCCCCCCUUCCCCUCGCAGUUUGAACUUGAAAGCAGCUUUUCAGGCCAAGAUGGAACCUUCUGAACUCAGGAAAGCGAUUUUUAAUUUUUGCGAAGCCGAGCUGGCUAGGCCAGGCAGCGCACUUCUUUUCCGAUUAUGGGGAGGGCUGCGCUGGGCCGUCAGCAGUGAGCUCUUCCCCAGCUCCUGAGGGCUGUGGCCCACACCUGAGCGCCUUCCGACAGCUACUCCCGGGGGUGGGAGCGCUGUCUCCCCAGCAGGCCUGCCAGGCAUCAGCGCGGCUUGGGCGGGGGGGGCGGGAGGGGGUCCAACCAGACACCAACACAGGCUCCUCUACGUUUAUGGUCCUUAAAUGAACUGCGAGGAAGGUUAUAAGUGAAAGAAGGAAGGUUCAGAUACAUUGAAGAGCCUGGGGUGACAUUGACUCUAAGCUUACAGCAUGGGGAGCUCAGGAUGGUUUCAUUUCACUUCUGCAGAAAAGGUAGUGUUGGUGGUGGCAUCUUUUAAACUUUAGCAUAAGCAACUGAACUGUGAACAGUUAUUAUUUUAUGAGCUUCUCUUUGACCAUUUUUAAUCUUUUUUUUUAAGUCCCUACAACAAAAGCUAACAAGCAGAAAAUUCUUCCAGGAACGGAUCACAAGUGAGCACAGCUCUGUCCUGUAUUCUAAGCUAGUAAUGGAGGUACAGUACGGGAGCUGAAGAGGUCUAGCAGACGUGCUCCAGUCAUCAACUGCAAACAUUUACCUUUGAAGCAACUGGAUGAGCCAGAUUGGUUAUGGUUUGCAUCCAUGUUCGACUUGAUAAAGGGGCAUAAUUUGUGAAAAGCCUUCAGGCAAAAAUCGUACUGAUUAUUCAAAACUAAAUAUUUUAACAUUUCAUUGAGUUAGCUAAUGAAUAAGAAAAACAUCGAAGGCUUCCUGCAGCUCAGAAAGAAUUCUAGUGGCGUGGAAAGCACAAGGAGCAAAGAACAAGAAACUGAAGGACUCCUGCUGAGCAGUUAUUCGCUUGUGAAUAUCUGAAAAUGUAUUCUUCUGUGCGUUAUUUAAAAAUGAAAAAUAAACAUCAUCUUUCCUUGUCUUUUGUUUUUAAAUGAACGUCUGAUAGCUUGCUAAAAAAUUUUUUUCUGAGUAAUUUAUGCGAGAAAGGGCCAAUUCGAAAACGUGUAACUAAUGGGAGAAGUCCACGUAUAAGCCGCAAACAAAUCGGUUUGAAGCCGAGCCCACAGCCCUGCGAGGCGCCACUGCUUCCAAGCUCAGGGAGGAUAACUUCAUCUACCGGCAGUU
rnacentral:lncRNA from 1 species